CACGUAGGGCGCAAGCGUUGUCCGGAAUUAUUGGGCGUAAAGAGCUCGUAGGCGGUCUGUUGCGUCCGCUGUGAAAACCCGGGGCUUAACCCCUGGCUUGCAGUGGAUACGGACAGACUAGAGGUAGGUAGGGGAGAAUGGAAUUCCCGGUGUAGCGGUGAAAUGCGCAGAUAUCAGGAGGAACACCAAUGGCGAAGGCAGCUCGCUGGGACGGUACUGACGCUGAGACGCGAAAGCGUGGGGAGCAAACAGG
rnacentral:rRNA from 1 species